AACGAACGCUGGCGGCAUGCCUAACACAUGCAAGUCGAACGAGACCUUCGGGUCUAGUGGCGCACGUGUGCGUAACGCGUGGGAACCUGCCCUUAGGUUCGGAAUAACUCCCCGAAAGGGGUGCUAAUACCGGAUAAUGCCUUCGGACCAAAGAUUUAUCGCCUUUGGAUGGGCCCGCGUUGGAUUAGCUAGUUGGUAGGGUAAACGCCUACCAAGGCGACGAUCCAUAGCUGGUCUGAGAGGAUGAUCAGCCACACUGGGACUGAGACACGGCCCAGACUCCUACGGGAGGCAGCAGUGGGGAAUAUUGGACAAUGGGCGAAAGCCUGAUCCAGCAAUGCCGCGUGAGUGAUGAAGGCCUUAGGGUUGUAAAGCUCUUUUACCCGGGAUGAUAAUGACAGUACCGGGAGAAUAAGCUCCGGCUAACUCCGUG
rnacentral:rRNA from 1 species